GAAUAGUUGGUAAUUUCCAUCCGAGCAACUCGAGGUAAGUUCGUAUAAUUAGAAUCAAACUUUUAAAUACUUGUAAUUAUUUAAAAUGAAUGUUUGUGACUGAGUAAAUGAUAUAUUCAAAAUUCGAAUGCCUUAUUGAUAUAGUUUGAUGGUUACCGAGCACCGUUUGAACCGUAGGAAUUCGUAGGAUACGAGUGACAUG
rnacentral:lncRNA from 1 species